CCUACGGGUGGCACCAGUGGGGAAUAUUGCACAAUGGGCGCGAGCCUGAUGCAGCCAUGCCGCGUGUAUGAAGAAGGCCUUCGGGUUGUAAAGUACUUUCAGCGGGGAGGAAGGUGUUGUGGUUAAUAACCACAGCAAUUGACGUUACCCGCAGAAGAAGCACCGGCUAACUCCGUGCCAACAGCCGCGGUAAUACGGAGGGUGCAAGCGUUAAUCGGAAUUACUGGGCGUAAAGCGCACGCAGGCGGUCUGUCAAGUCGGAUGUGAAAUCCCCGGGCUCAACCUGGGAACUGCAUUCGAAACUGGCAGGCUAGAGUCUUGUAGAGGGGGGUAGAAUUCCAGGUGUAGCGGUGAAAUGCGUAGAGAUCUGGAGGAAUACCGGUGGCGAAGGCGGCCCCCUGGACAAAGACCGACGCUCAGGUGUGAAAGCGUGGGGAGCAAACAGGAUUAGAUACCCCCGUAGUC
rnacentral:rRNA from 1 species